rnacentral:rRNA from 1 species
GGGCCCGCACAAGCGGAGGAACAUGUGGUUUAAUUCGAUGAUACGCGAGGAACCUUACCCGGGCUCGAACGGCAGUGGAAUGUGUGUGAAAGCAUACAGCUAGCAAUAGCCGCUGUCGAGGUGCUGCAUGGUUGUCGUCAGCUCGUGCCGUGAGGUGUCGGCUUAAGUGCCAUAACGAGCGCAACCCUUAUCUUUAGUUACCAUCAGGUCAAGCUGGGGACUCUAGAGAGACUGCCACCGUAAGGUGUGAGGAAGGUGGGGAUGACGUCAAAUCAGCACGGCCCUUACGUCCGGGGCGACACACGUGUUACAAUGGAUGGGACAGAAGGCAGCUACCAGGCGACUGGAUGCAAAUCCCCAAACCCAUUCCCAGUUCGGAUCGGAGUCCGCAACUCGACUCCGUGAAGCUGGAUUCGCUAGUAAUCGCGCAUCAGCCAUGGCG